rnacentral:rRNA from 1 species
GUGAGUAGUUCAGAGUUUGAUCCUGGCUCAGGACGAACGCUGGCGGCGUGCCUAACACAUGCAAGUCGAGCGGAGACAUUGAGUAGCUUGCUAUGAGAUGUUUUAGCGGCGGACGGGUGAGUAACGCGUGAGCAACCUUUCCUUUACUGGGGAAUAACACAGCGAAAGCUGUACUAAUACCGCAUGAGACCACGGGAGGGCAUCCUUCAGGGGUCAAAGAUUUAUCGGUAAAGGGUGGGCUCGCGUCCGAUUAGAUAGUUGGUGAGGUAACGGCCCACCAAGUCAACGAUCGGUAGCCGACCUGAGAGGGUGAUCGGCCACAUUGGGACUGAGACACGGCCCAA